CGGGCGCCCUAUUAUUCAUUCGCUUGUUUAAAUUGUGAAACAUGUGACUUUACUAAGACUGUACGCAUUUAAAGUUUGAAACAAAAAACUGCAAUUGGCGCAAAUUGAUUCUGCCCAAACGAUAGAUACAUCGAGGUCGUUUCGCUUAAGUGAUUUACCUGUAAAAAGUCCGGGUCUCAUCCAUGUUUAAAACGAAUUAAUGCAUGUUUGAAAUAGCUUAACAGGGGCGUGGCCUAUUAGUUUGACGCAACUAACCACUAACUUGAUUUCAAUUGAUCGACUGCAGAGAAAUCUAUUUGACUGGCGUUAAAAUGAAUUGAUAUGAAUUGAAAUGAAUUAAAUAUAAUUUUUAAUUUUUGUCAAUCUUUAUCAAAUAACGAUCAAUCUCAUUUAAAUAGCGUUAACACGUUUUUGUCCGAUCAAGUUAAAUUCGGGUUACUAGUGA
rnacentral:lncRNA from 1 species